rnacentral:rRNA from 1 species
GACGAACGCUGGCGGCGUGCUUAACACAUGCAAGUCGAACGGAAAGGCCCUGCUUUUGUGGGGUGCUCGAGUGGCGAACGGGUGAGUAACACGUGAGUAACCUGCCCUUUACUUUGGGAUACCUUCAGUAAACUGGGGUUAAUACCGGAUAUGAGCUCCUGCUGCAUGGUGUUUGUUGGAAAGUUUCGGCGGUUCGGGAUGGACUCGCGGUUUAUCAGCUUGUUGGUGGGGUAGUGGCUUACCAAGGCUUCGACGGGUAGCCGGCCUGAGAGGGUGACCGGCCACAUUGGGACUGAGAAACGGGCAAGACUGAUACGGGAGGAAGGAGUGGGGAAUAGUGCAAACUGGGCGGAAGGCGGAUGCAGGAACGCCGCGUGCGAGAUGACGGCCUUUGGGGUGGAAACCGCUUUAGACUGGGACGAAGAGUGAGUGACGGUAAUGGGUAAAGAAGCAACGGCUAACUACGUG